rnacentral:rRNA from 2 species
GGCCGCAAGGUUAAAACUCAAAUGAAUUGACGGGGGCCCGCACAAGCGGUGGAGCAUGUGGUUUAAUUCGAUGCAACGCGAAGAACCUUACCUGGUCUUGACAUCCACAGAACUUUCCAGAGAUGGACUGGUGCCUUCGGGAACUGUGAGACAGGUGCUGCAUGGCUGUCGUCAGCUCGUGUUGUGAAAUGUUGGGUUAAGUCCCGCAACGAGCGCAACCCUUAUCCUUUGUUGCCAGCGAUUAGGUCGGGAACU